UACAGAGGUCCCAAGCGUUGUUCGGAUUCACUGGGCGUAAAGGGUGCGUAGGCGGUCGGGUAAGUCUGAUGUGAAAUCUCACAGCUUAACUGUGAAACUGCAUUGGAUACUGUCCGGCUAGAGGAAUGGAGGGGAGACUGGAAUACUUGGUGUAGCAGUGAAAUGCGUAGAUAUCAAGAGGAACACCGAUGGCGAAGGCAGGUCUCUGGGCUGACACUGACGCUCAUGCACGAAAGCGUGGGGAGCAAACAGG
rnacentral:rRNA from 1 species